GAAUCACAGAAUGGUUUGGGUGGGAAAGGACUGGAAUCAUCCAGUUCCAGCUCCCUGCCAUGGGCAGGGAUGCCUCACACUAGACCAUGUCACCCAAUGCUCCAUCCAGCCUGGCCUUGAACACUGCCAGGGAUGAAUGGUGGGAGAUUGCAUUUAAGGCUGGGGGAGGGAAGAGGAAGCAAGAGUGUGGCUGUGUGUACUCCCACCACCAAAGUUGAAAUAUGUUGCACAGUAAAACUACAGGAGCAUUGCUUAUGGUGUUCAUAGCUUAUAAAGUAUGAUGAGAUAAAGAGCACAGCUCAUCAUCAAGAACUCCAUCAUAUUUCCUUUCUUUUAAGCACUGCUCUGAAAACAAAACUGCUAGAGAACAAGCUUUCAUUUUGCUGAAAGCUUUCAUUGCUCCCUUGCCAGCAGUUGUUGCUGGAGUGUGUAAAACUGCACCAGAUCUUACGAUUCCAGGAAGCCAAGGAAGAGGGCACCAGCUAUUUUUAUCCUAACCUUAUCUUGUCAAGUAAACCCUCAUGCCAGGGAAGUAGCACCUUCACUUCAGAAAGCCUCUCCAGAGCCCAGACCAUACCUCAACGCUGAAGAAUCAGCUUAGCCAAGCAGGAUCACCAGCGGGAGCCUUGCCCUUACAGAAGGUUCUUGAAACUCGCUGCAGCCCUGGCUGUGCCUGUCAGUUUACCAUGGGAAGCUAACACAAGCACGGUACAUGAGGAGCUGUUCAGAAGCCAUGGAGCCACGCAGCUGAGCCUCCCAGGCUCAAAGAGCGUGGAGGAUGACCCAACAUAAGGGAUGCAGAUUUUCUAUGGCAGCAGUGAAUGCAAGCACUAAGAUACACACCAUUUUUGAGGAAACUCUUUAGCAGUUCAUGAUAUAAAACUGAAGGCCAGUUACUCUACCAGGUAACACGAAGUGCACUUUGUAAUGCCAGUUUGCCAUUCCAGAAACACAGAAAGGAACUUAGCAGGUCUUUUGAUUUGGCUAAGAAAUGUUACAAGCACAGUACCUGGACAAAGACAGAAACAAAGAUUGCUGCUAAUCCUUGGAGGUGCAAUGAGCAUGGGGGCUGCUUCCAUGCAUGCUGCAAGUUUUCUGGCAAGGUGAGGCAUAUCCAUUUCUGUCCAUAUAUAUAAAACUCAAUCUGCUUUCCACAUAAACAAGCCUUAACUCAGAGGCUAUCACUUUCUGAAAACAAGGCUAAAUACUCUGCCGCAUAUCUCAACAAGCUGUUAUAAAAGAGCAUCUCUAGAGAGUCAACAAGCAUAAAGAUUUGUGAUGAGUAACGUCAUGUUCUUUUCAAACAGGAGCAAAGCAAGACAAGCUCUUUCCAGCUCACUCAGAGAAAGCCUCCCUGUGGUCUCAGAUGCUUAUGGAAGCCACACAGUCCUCCCACAGCAGAGUCAUAUGGAACCUGAUCUCAACUGAGCCACUGCAACAGAACGGCAGGCCAGCUUCGACCUGCAUAUCCCUUUCCACUCUCAGCAGCUCAGUGCUUGACAGCUCCUCGGUUGUCAGUGAGCACACAGCUAUCCCUGCACCUCCCCAGAAUGAUGUGGCUUUGGCUUAUCUCAGGAAUGAAACUCCAUCCUGCCUAUUUGACCUCUGUUUGUAGGCAGCUUUAUUCCAGGUGAGCCAAAUCUUCACACUCACCUUCACCACAACGUACAUGUCAAAAAGAGGUGGCAUUUGCAAAAAGAACAAGCAAAAACGCUACUCAUUUCUGGCUCCCAAACUAAGGGAUCUCUCCUGUGAAAAUCCACUGCAGCUGCAAUCAUGAGUUAAUGUCCCAGUGCCAGGCCCAAACCAGAACUGGGUAGAGCAGGAUCUCAAUUACUUUCUUGUUCAACAUGUCUACCGCAGUAAGGAUGUAAUGAUGUGACGUAUUACUUACUAUACAGCAAGUUACUGAAACUCUAUCCCUGCAGCUUUAGACUCAACCAGCAACUCCAUAGAAGCCACAGUGACUGAAGGUGUAUAGAAUUUGAUUAAACAUGGCUUUUUACCUAAACCUGAAA